ACUCCUACGGGAGGCAGCAGUGGGGAAUAUUGCACAAUGGGCGCAAGCCUGAUGCAGCAACGCCGCGUGAGCGAUGAAGGCCUUCGGGUCGUAAAGCUCUGUCCUCAAGGAAGAAUAAAUGACGGUACUUGAGGAGGAAGCCCGGGCUAACUACGUGCCAGCAGCCGCGGUAAUACGUAGGGGGCAAGCGUUAUCCGGAAUCACUGGGGCGUAAAGGGUGCGUAGGCGGUUUUCAAGUCAGAAGUGAAAGGCUAUGGCUCAACCAUAGUAAGCUUUUGAAACUGUUAAACUUGAGUGCAGGAGAGGAAAGUGGAAUUCCUAGUGUAGAGGUGAAAUUCGUAGAUAUUAGGAGGAACACCAGUGGCGAAGGCGACUUUCUGGACUGUAACUGACGCUGAGGCACGAAAGCGUGGGGAGCGAACAGGAUUAGAUACCCUGGUAGCACAGAG
rnacentral:rRNA from 1 species